ACCCCACCCUUUUUCUCUUCAUCCUCGUCUCUUCUCUAUCCACCAUCUCCGGCGAUGCAUCCACCCAUCAAUGUGUGCCAAUGUCGAAAAAUUAGAAGAAAAGGUUACGAGAAAGAACAACCUCUCAAUCUUAUAUUGAUCAAUGUGAAACAUACUACCAAGAUACCUGGCGAGAAAGGAAGAGAAGAAUAUAGGGCCUUGGAUCUUAACUUAAGUUUACUAUGGGCAGGAUCUUUGUCCUUAUCAUCUGUAGAAUAUUUGAAAACCUCUAAAUAUUAAUUUAUAUGAAUUUUUAUUAUUUUA